rnacentral:rRNA from 1 species
ACAUGCAAGUCGAACGAGACCUUCGGGUCUAGUGGCGCACGGGUGCGUAACGCGUGGGAAUCUGCCCUUGGGUCCGGAAUAACAGUGAGAAAUUACUGCUAAUACCGGAUGAUGUCUUCGGACCAAAGAUUUAUCGCCCAGGGAUGAGCCCGCGUAAGAUUAGCUAGUUGGUGGGGUAAAGGCCUACCAAGGCGACGAUCUUUAGCUGGUCUGAGAGGAUGAUCAGCCACACUGGGACUGAGACACGGCCCAGACUCCUACGGGAGGCAGCAGUGGGGAAUAUUGGACAAUGGGCGAAAGCCUGAUCCAGCAAUGCCGCGUGAGUGAUGAAGGCCUUAGGGUUGUAAAGCUCUUUUACCCGGGAUGAUAAUGACAGUACCGGGAGAAUAAGCCCCGGCUAACUCCGUGCCAGCAGCCGCGGUAAUACGGAGGGGGCUAGCGUUGUUCGGAAUUACUGGGCGUAGAGCGCACGUAGGCGGCUAUUCAAGUCAGAGGUGAAAGCCCGGAGCUCAACUCCGGAACUGCCUUUGAAACUAGAUAGCUCGAAUCAUGGAGAGGCGGGUGGAAUUCCGAGUGUAGAGGUGAAAUUCGUAGAUAUUCGGAAGA